CAAAAUGUAGCUUAAUUAAAGCCUUCCGCUUACACCGGAAAAAUGUCUGUGUAACCCAUACCAUUUUGA
rnacentral:tRNA from 1 species